rnacentral:rRNA from 1 species
UACGUAGGGUGCAAGCGUUAAUCGGAAUUACUGGGCGUAAAGCGUGCGCAGGCGGUUUUGUAAGUCUGUCGUGAAAGCCCCGGGCUCAACCUGGGAAUUGCGAUGGAGACUGCAAGGCUUGAAUCUGGCAGAGGGGGGUAGAAUUCCACGUGUAGCAGUGAAAUGCGUAGAGAUGUGGAGGAACACCGAUGGCGAAGGCAGCCCCCUGGGUCAAGAUUGACGCUCAUGCACGAAAGCCAGGGGAGCAAACGGG